GAUGAAGAACGUAGCGAAAUGCGAUACGUAAUGUGAAUUGCAGAAUUCAGUGAAUCAUCGAGUCUUUGAACGCACAUUGCGCCCUCUGGUAUUCCGGAGGGCAUGCCUGUCCGAGCGUCAUUGCUGCCCUCAAGCACGGCUUGUGUGUUGGGCCCCGCCCCCCGAUCCCGGGGGGCGGGCCCGAAAGGCAGCGGCGGCACCGCGUCCGGUCCUCGAGCGUAUGGGGCUUUGUCACCCGCUCUGUAGGCCCGGCCGGCGCCUGCCGAUCAACCAAACUUUUUUCCAGGUUGACCUCGGAUCAGGUAGGGAUACCCGCUGAACUUAAGCAUAUGAAUAAGCGGAGGA
rnacentral:misc_RNA from 1 species